rnacentral:rRNA from 1 species
AUGAACGCUAGCGGCAGGCCUAAUACAUGCAAGUCGAACGGGUGGUAGCAAUACCACUAGUGGCGCACGGGUGCGUAACGCGUAACCAACCUACCCGAAACUGGGGGAUAGCCCGCCGAAAGGCGGAUUAAUACCGCAUAAACCAACAGCGUGGCAUCACGCAAUUGGUAAAGAUUUAUUGGUUUCGGAUGGGGUUGCGUAGCAUUAGCUAGAUGGCGGGGUAACGGCCCACCAUGGCGACGAUGCUUAGGGGACCUGAGAGGGUGAUCCCCCACACUGGCACUGAGAUACGGGCCAGACUCCUACGGGAGGCAGCAGUAGGGAAUAUUGGGCAAUGGGCGAGAGCCUGACCCAGCCAUGCCGCGUGCAGGAUGAAGGCCUUCUGGGUUGUAAACUGCUUUUCUCAGGGAAGAAAAAGGUGAUGCGUCACAAACUGACGGUACCUGAGGAAUAAGCACCGGCUAACUCCGU